UCUUCCCUCUUUCUUCGUGCCUAAUACAUGCAAGUCGAGCGAACAGACGAGGAGCUUGCUCCUCUGACGUUAGCGGCGGACGGGUGAGUAACACGUGGAUAACCUACCUAUAAGACUGGGAUAACUUCGGGAAACCGGAGCUAAUACCGGAUAAUAUAUUGAACCGCAUGGUUCAAUAGUGAAAGACGGUUUUGCUGUCACUUAUAGAUGGAUCCGCGCCGCAUUAGCUAGUUGGUAAGGUAACGGCUUACCAAGGCAACGAUGCGUAGCCGACCUGAGAGGGUGAUCGGCCACACUGGAACUGAGACACGGUCCGGACUCCUACGGGAGGCAGCAGUAGGGAAUCUUCCGCAAUGGGCGAAAGCCUGACGGAGCAACGCCGCGUGAGUGAUGAAGGUCUUCGGAUCGUAAAACUCUGUUAUUAGGGAAGAACAAAUGUGUAAGUAACUAUGCACGUCUUGACGGUACCUAAUCAGAAAGCCACGGCUAACUACGUG
rnacentral:rRNA from 1 species